UACGGAGGGUGCAAGCGUUGCUCGGAAUUAUUGGGCGUAAAGGGUAGGUAGGUGGUCUCAUUUGUCUGGGGUGAAAGCCUUGAGCUUAACUCAAGAAGUGCCCCAGAAACGGUGAGACUAGAGUCUUGGAGAGGGUCGUGGAAUCCCGGUGUAGCGGUGAAAUGCGUAGAGAUCGGGAGGAACACCAGAGGCGAAGGCGGCGACCUGGACAAGUACUGACACUCAACUACGAAAGCGUGGGGAGCAAACAGGAUA
rnacentral:rRNA from 1 species